rnacentral:tRNA from 1 species
GGAGAGAUGCGAGAGCGGUUGAAUCGGGCGGUCUCGAAAACCGUUGAACCCGCAUGGGUUCCGAGGGUUCGAAUCCCUCUCUCUCCG